CCAAUAGCGUAUAUUAAAGUUGUUGCAGUUAAAAAGCUCGUAGUUGAAUUUCGGGGUCAGUAGGUUGGUCGUGCCACCGGUACGUACUGGUCUCACUGAUUCCUCCUUCCUGACGAACCGUAAUGCCAUUAAUUUGGUGUUGCGGGGGAACAGGACUGUUACUUUGAAAAAAUUAGAGUGUUUAAAGCAGGCUAACGCUUGAAUACAUUAGCAUGGAAUAAUGAAUUAGGACGAUCGAUCCUAUUUUGUUGGUUUCUAGGAUUGACGUAAUGAUUAAUAGGGAUAGUUGGGGGCAUUAGUAUUCAAUUGUCAGAGGUGAAAUUCUUGGAUUUAUUGAAGACUAACUACUGCGAAAGCAUUUGCCAAGGAUGUUUUCAUUAAUCAAGAACGAAAGUUAGGGGAUCGAAGACGAUCAGAUACCGUCGUAGUCUUAACCAUAAACUAUGCCGACUAGGGAUCGGAUGAUGUUAAUUUUAUAAUGACUCAUUCGGCGCCUUACG
rnacentral:rRNA from 1 species